GCAUUUAAAUCUCCAUUCUACCUGGAUCCCUUUGGAAUGUAUUUUAGUGGCAAUAGGAACCAGGCACUCAAUUUUAUUCUUUUCUGGAUGGCUAGCCAUUCAUCCCAGCACGACAUUAAAUAGUGAAUAACCCACCCAUGGAAAUAACCCAUUUCCCCUACAGGUUGAGAUGUCAUCUUCAGCACAUUCUGGAUUCCCAUGUGUAUCUGGUGGCCCUGCUCUAUGAAUAUCUGCCUGACCCCUUCUGGUCUUCGGACAAGCCAGGCAGACCAGCGAGAAGCUGCCCCGGGUCCCAGACCUUCAGCCUCCCUCACGCUUCUUCUAGGAUGGAAGCCACCCCAAACAAAAUGACGAGGCAAACGAUUGACAACAAGAAGAUAUCGGCAACAUGAAUAACGGUCCAAUGGCUAUGGUACCUAAUUUACAAAAUUCUUGGAGGAUAAGAUGAAGAAGACAAAAAAACUUAACGUUGCCAGAGAUCCCAGGGAAGAGUUGAUGUUGCACUUUGAGCCUGAAGGCAGUCCACUGGCAGAACUUCUUGUUCGAAGAUGUCUUGCCUUUUUUUCUCUGACAGUCUUCGAUUUCAUGGACACUGCCCACCGACGUCAUCUUGGGUAAUCUGCUUUCCUCAAAGACUACUAACUUUAGUGUUAAUUUCCUCCAUAAAAUACCUUCACAGCAAUAUCUAGGAUCAUGCUUAAGCAACUAUCUAGAGCUUCAUGGCCCAGCUAAGUUGACCUAUAAAAUUAAUCAUCUCAGUUUCUUUCUCAGGUUACCGUCCUGGGAUGAGCAGCCGCUCUGCUCCUUAUGGUCACUCAGGGCCCCAGGUUCCUCUCAACUUGCAGGGCACUGCGCUGGGCUGGGCUGCUGCCACAGCCAGAGUUUAGGCAUCUUGGAGAGGACACAGCCACUCUUUGCAGGCCCAGAUACAGAAGUAGCUUCUGUCUGAUGCAUCCUCUUCCUCUGUGGGUGGGAACAUCCUAACGACACACCUAUCUGCAAGGCAGCCUGGGAAAUGUAGUCCAGUCAGCACUUCCACCCAGCUACAUCUGUCUUAUCCUAGAAGGAGAGAAAGGAUCUUACCUGAAGUGAGCAGUUUCCACUCCCACCUCCCCAUCAUAAGGAAAUAUCAAUCAAAUCCAUGAACCACUUCCUUUUCUUAUUUUCUGUUUCCUUUCUGAAUGGCAAAAUUUUUAAAGUUUACAAAUAGUAAGUUGUAGGUAUCAAGCAGGAGGGUUCUUACUCUAUAGCA